AGGCGGGGCCUAGAUGGGAGACCUUAGGACCCGAGAUUGGGAUGUACCGCCUCUCUUGGUUCCUGGUGAUCCUGGAAGCUGGAUGGUAAACCAAGCGGAGUUCUUCUGAGAACCCAGCUGGACUGCACCUCACCUCUCCUGGAUCCUGUAAUCAACCCCUUUACUAGCUGAAGUCAUCAACCAGUUCUCUCAGCUACCCCUCCUGAAAGUGUCUACAAGACCUUGACGAGAGAGGUGUCCUGCUCUGUGCCUGGAGGAAAGGACUAAAAACCGGAAGCCACCAAGAAGAACCCGAGCAAGCUGGCUGAUUGUCUCCCAGCUGGAACCGUGAGAUCAUAAUCCAGGCACACUUCUAUAGUUCUGCCCAUUCCUCAUCAAACCUAAAUGCUCGGAUGGCUUUCCAUGGGUGUAGUCUUCAUUUCAGAAAGCUCCUGUGCCACAUAAUGCUCGAGUCGAUGUAUUGGGCUUUUCUUUUUUCAAUCUGCUUUUUGUUAAGGAUAUCAGCCAUGGCUUUACCUUACUUUCCUCCCUCCCUCCCUCCCUCCGUCCCUCCCUCCUUCCCUCUCUCCCUCCCUUCCAUUUUGGGGAUUGAAUCCAUAAAGGCAAACACUACAGUAACUAUACCUUCAGGCUCUCUUAAGGUUCCUUUCACACAAAUGAUUUGCAGUCUUCUUAUAAUUUAUUUUUAUUUAUGUGUGUCCAUGUCUAUGUGUAUAUGUGCCACACAUGUUCAGGUGCCCAUGGAGAAAAGAAGAGAGCAUCAGAUCCCCUGGAGCUGGAGUUACAGGCAGUUAUGAGCAUCCUGGUGUGCAUGCUGGGAACAGACCUUGGGUCUUCUGGAAGAGCAGUACACACCCUAACCAGCCCCAACUAACUCCAGAUUGUCUCUCUCCUCUCUGGCCCUUAGAAAUCCUUGUUGGAAGAGUAGGGAAAUGCCCGAUUCCCUGCCGGCAGUUCAAAGCAACACAGCUUGCUGUGGUCUUCUCUCACCAUUCUCCGACAAGGGGUCCCUCUGCACAAAGUCUUAGCGAGGAGUUGCUGAUUCUCUGCUCUCGCUGACAGAGUGGGUGAUGCAGUUGGCUGAGGUGUCAUGUUCACAUAAGAUCAGAUGUUCCGGUGGGCCGUGGAGUCUAGGUGUGUGAGGGGCUAAAGGUAUGAGAGAAAGAAGCUGCCCUGGGUACCGGGCUCUAGUGAGAUGCUGUCUAUGACAAACAAGACGGUUGCUAUCAGAUACCCUUCCUUUGGCUGGCCCCUCCAGAUGCAGUCCCUUGGCAUUUCCUGUCUUCUUCACACCUCCAGGGCUGGCCCCCAGCUCAUGCUCCCACGACAGCAGAAGUCCAAGCUCUCCCGUUUUAACUCCAAGUGGAUUGUUACUGCUUUCCAUGGCUUUGGCCUUCAGCUCUUAACCUAGUCAGCAGUUCUCUAACUGCUGUAUGGAUUAGAACCCUCUAAAAGCCUCAAGAAACAGGCUUGUAGGUCCCAGCCUUGGUUCUGUUCACUAAGUCUAGGGCGGGGACAGAUUUGCAUGUUUGGGGUUCUGAGAGGGUGUCAGUGCUACUGGGAGACCCAAGUCAGACCCUCUGGUCAACCUGUCUUCAGACCCCCCUCAUUGCAAACACAUCCUGCCAUUUAUGUGGCUGCUUUACAUCAACAAAUCUUCACAACAACCCCGUGAGGUAGGCACCGCUGAUAGUCUUAUUUCAAGAGGAAGAAACGGAGGCACAGAGAUUAUGUAUCUUGUGUAAUGUAAGUGAUGGAGCUGGUCAGCGCUGACUAUAAAGCUUGGAUUUGUAAUCACCUUACCAUGCUGCAUUAACUGCUAAGGAUCCCCCUACCACCCCAUCCCCUUGCACAUCUACGAUUAUCUACUUUGGAAUCCCUGGACUUUAUGAACACGGUGCCUUUUCAUUCAGCACCAAUCUCUCCCCAAAUUUCUCUUUGCUGCUGGCUAAAUACAUUAAGAGGAAAUGGGGAUUUCAUAGCCACCAAGACCUUCAGACUUUUGUGAGGGAUGUGUACUCUGACUUCAGGGGGGGGGGGGACGACAACCUGAAGGUCGAAAAGUCUUAAAGAUAGCCAGUUCUAUUGCUUCCAAUAAUGGAUGGUAACACAAAUGAAUGACUGAAGGAACCGGUCCAAGGAUUCCUCUCAGCCUUCACAAGUAAAUCAACAUGGCUCAUUUGCAUAUAAGGCACUGUGCCUCAGAUCAGAGGCUGAUCAUACAUCAGAAUUUUGCAACUAAUUUUUUUAGGGUCCGGUAAGGGUUACAACCCUGUGUUUGGAUUUUAUAAGUAUUGGGAGCAUCCUGCUUCAUGACUCACAGUCCUUUGGCUUGUAGACCUUUGGUCUCUCAGGAGAGGCUCAGUGGAAGCCACAAACUAAUUGCUAGAUGGAAGCAAAAUUCAACGCCUACCAGGGCAGCUAAGAUUUGGUUUUCAAUAAAGACAGCACAGAGAUCUGUGUGAUUUCCCUCUUCAGCGGUUUCUACACUCACUGGAAGUUUGCUUGAGGUAGUUUUGUUUCCUCCAAAAACUUCAGUCGAGUUGACUUGUACAGUCCAGGGAAUCUAGAACAUACGUGUUCUUCUUCUAAGAUUGACUCCCCUCUCUACCCCCUUUCUGGAUCAAUGAUUUGUUUCUGAUAAUUCUAUGCCUUAUGCUGUAGGAAGCUCUGACAGGCUGUGGAGAGGAAAUGGGCCUUGGGAGAUGAGGCUGGCUUUUGAGAAUUUGUCCACCAGAGUCCUCAGACACUCCGGUGGUUCUUGCACUUGUUCAACACCGGACUGACUCCCUUGUACUCUAGUCCAAAAACGCCAAUUCCCCAGGCGCUCCUAGAGACCACACAGAACAGUGUUUUAGGACUGAACCCAGACAUCUCUGUGCAAAAACAAGCAGAGUAGGAAGCAAAACCAGCUCCCAGGGGCUCCCGUGGCAGGGUGGUGUGGAAAACCACUAUGAUGAUGGUCUGAUGGAGCAACUCAGUCAAGAGUAUAUUUAGCUAAGGGUAGAAAAUGGAAAAGUAGAGGUCAGGACACAUCAAAUACGUGGGUGUAUGUCCUUUCUUAAUUAGAGUGAACUUCUGUGGGUAGACAACCCUGGGACUUAGACAACAAGUGUCACCCGGCAAGGACAGCCCAGAUCAGCCUUCAAUGGCCUGGCUUCACUCUCUCUCCACCUUGUGUGAAGGGUCUCAGGAAGGCCAUCUCGUUGGCUGUUGGCCUAAAAUACCCUAGACAAGGGUGUCCCAUUCACUCCCCCUGGGCUCUGGGAGGCAGGGCAGCGGGCCCCCUGUCCCAGGCUGCUUCUUGGCUGCUAGAUCCGGGCAACUUCACAACCCCCUCCAACCCAGUGGAUUCUGGACUAUUUUCCUUCCGCCUGUAACCCCCAGGGCGUUUUUGUUUGUUUGUUUGUUUUUUUUUUUUUAAUCGUUGUUCUUUUUUCUUUAAGAAGCUCCAGAGAACUUAGAAAGCUGAUCCUUGAAAGCUAAGCAUUUCUAAUCACAUAAAGGUAUCUCUGCGGGACUUGAGCUGAAGAGUUUGUCCGGGGCUUUCAUCUUUCUGUGUCUCCCUUUCCUUCGCCAGUCUUUCUGGACUCUUACCUACCCAGCUUCUUGCCGGAUGCUCCCUCCCCGCCCCGCCCCCCUGCCCCGAGCUCCCGGCCCCUCGCCAUCAUCUCCAUACUUGCGAGCCAACAGAGUAAAGAAGGGCUUGGUCAGAGGUCCAGAGGGGGGGAGGGACGAAGUCAUGUGCCCCCAUGCUGGGCCCAAGAAGACUGUGAGAAAACCUCUCUCCAUCUGCAGCCCAGCCCGGUGGGAGUCAAUUAAUUCUGAAUAACCUAAAAACGACAGAGGUAUUUGCAUUCACAACCUGACUGAUGACCGUGUAAAAUUGAUUUAUGAAUUAAAGUGCUUCCCCUCCCUUUAUCCCGAUUCAGUCUGUAAUUGAUUAUACGUGCUGCAGCGAAAUUAAAGAAAGGAAAAUGAAAAAGAAAAGUGAAGAAAGAGAGGCCCUUGCUCGGCAGUCCAGCAUUCUCAGGGUUCCCCGCGACCGGCUCUUCUCUCCAUCACUUACCAUUUUUUUACUUAAAAAAUUGCUUCCAACGUCGCUUCUACCCCAUCUCUGCCCCUGCUCUGGCUCCACCAUGGUUAGCAUUUCCUUUCCCUGCUUCCUCCUCUCUGAACAUUUGGAUAUGGCAAGGCGUCUCCCAGGUAGAACUGUACCUGGAAAAAUGUGGGAGGUGAGCGAAGCCGUCUUUGGUUUCCUGCCCCCCUUCUGCAUUGGUCUUUCUCUCUGCCCCUUUGCUUACUUGCCUCCUCCUUUCACUUUUUUGACUGCCCUCCACUCUAACCCGACAUCAUCAAAACUCCCACGUAGCAAGUUCUCUCUCUCUCUAUUUAUUUUGAGACAGGAUUUCUCUGUGUAACAGCCCCAGCUGUCCUGGAACUCACUUGGUACACCAGGCCAGCCUCGAACUCACGGAUAUCUGCCUGCCUCUGCCUCCUGAGUGCUGGUUCCUAACAAGAAUCACAUUGAUGACAAACAUUUUAAUGGCUUACCCCCUUUCUGCAGAAUUUUUCCACGGGAAAUCAAGUGUUUGUAUCAAGUGUUUGUAUCAAAUCUCAAGGUGCUUUCAGCCAGAGGAGGAGAGUUUUCUUAAUAAGAGGGAGUUUAAGCAGGGGGAGAAGAGGAAUAGAAUUCAAACCACCCAGAGAACGUAGGAGCGGACUUUGAAACCAGCUGCAUCAGGGAUCUGAACAUUGCUACCUUCGUGCUCCUGGUGCGUCACUUCCUUUUUCUUUCCAUGGCUGUUUAAAAUAGCGAAGACUGUUAAGCUGGAGGUGGCAUGUAUAAAUCCCCUACAAGUACAACUCACCAAAAAAAUCACAAUGGAGCCUGCAUCCUUGCUUAGUCUACUCUGAAAAGAGGGCAGUUCUAACUCUAGAGUCUCCUGGCAAUCGGGUGAUUAAUGGCUGUCUCCCUACCUCAAACCCAGUGUGGGUGUUUGAGGCAUACAUGGGGAGCUGGUUGUCAUCGGAAGCUAGAUUGGGAGAGCCUGCUGUCUCCUUGGCGGUGGAACUCACUUACCCAUAAUGCUGUCUCAUUUUCCCCUCUCCCAUCUCAGGACCUCGGAGAUGUUACCCAUAGUUCCUGGCACUCAUUUCCCUGCCUCAGUUGCUGUAUUUUCAGUCUCCUUUCUUCGAGGUCCUUUACUAUCCUUGGCAGGUGCUGAGGCCGCACUGGGGAAAGAAAGGCGAGCCUGCAGAAGAGGCAUCUCGGUGGUUUGGAAUCCUGCUUCUCCCCUUCUCAGCAGAGUUGAACUACUGCCUACUUGAAGUCUUUGCUGCUUGGAAUCAUUGAGGAAAAUAAACAAAACCCGAGAGCAAUCUGUGAGAGUAUCUGGAUACCGAGGUCCUGGGUCCUGAAGUACUGAGCACUGAAGUACUGGGUAUUAGGGCACUGAGUACUGAAGUGAGAGCAGAAACAUAAGGUGGUAGGAAGUUGCUGAGAGAGCACUCCCUGGAGACAAACCACCCCUGCGCCUUUGCUAAUGGAAACCCCACAUUCACUUGAAGGGCGUUUUCUGUGUUUGUAGAGGUCCAGAGCAUCAAAUUAACAGAGAAGGGACCAGUGGAAGAAGGACAAAGUGGUUGGCUCUAAUUUCUAAGAGCCUCUCUUUCCCCAAGAAAUAAAGAACUUGAU